UACGUAGGGGGCAAGCGUUGUCCGGAUUUAUUGGGCGUAAAGCGCUCGCAGGCGGCUCGAUGCGUCGUGCGUGAAACACCCCGGCUCAACUGGGGAGGGUCGUGCGAUACGGUCGGGCUGGAGGCCAGUAGGGGGAUGCGGAAUUCCGGGUGUAGUGGUGGAAUGCGUAGAGAUCCGGAGGAACACCAGCGGCGAAGGCGGCAUCCUGGACUGGUCCUGACGCUCAGGAGCGAAAGCGUGGGGAGCGAACAGG
rnacentral:rRNA from 1 species